rnacentral:rRNA from 1 species
AUUGAACGCUGGCGGCAGGCUUAACACAUGCAAGUCGAGCGGAGAUGAGGUGCUUGCACCUUAUCUUAGCGGCGGACGGGUGAGUAAUGCUUAGGAAUCUGCCUAUUAGUGGGGGACAACAUUCCGAAAGGAAUGCUAAUACCGCAUACGCCCUACGGGGGAAAGCAGGGGAUCUUCGGACCUUGCGCGAAUAGAUGAGCCUAAGUCGGAUUAGCUAGUUGGUGGGGUAAAGGCCUACCAAGGCGACGAUCUGUAGCGGGUCUGAGGGGAUGAGCCGCCGCACGGGGACUGGGACACGGCCCAGACUCCUACGGGAGGCAGCAGUGGGGAAUAUUGGACAAUGGGCGGAAGCCUGAGCCAGCCAUGCCGCGUGUGUGAAGAAGGCCUUUUGGUUGUAAAGCACUUUAAGCGAGGAGGAGGCUACCUGGAUUAAUACUCUAGGAUAGUGGACGUUACUCGCAGAAUAAGCACCGGCUAACUCUGUGCCAGCCGCCGCCGUAAAAC